GCAAACUUGGUCAUUUAGAGGAAGUAAAAGUCGUAACAAGGUUUCCGUAGGUGAACCUGCGGAAGGAUCAUUAGAGAAUCAUUGAUGCGGUUUGGCAUGUUUGCCCUUCCGUGUCAACCCCCACUCUAUUUCACCCCUUGUGAACUGUUGGAUCGGUCGGAGGGAUGUGUUUUCUGCAUGUUUUCUCUGGUCGAGGGUGCUUGCAAGUCGAUUCGUCGACUUUGCCACCCGAAUCACCCUUUUGAAACCCAUUGUGUGUUGAAUGGCACGCCACAUGGCGUAUUUCUGAAACACAAUACAACUUUCAGCAACGGAUCUCUAGGCUCUCGCAUCGAUGAAGAACGCAGC
rnacentral:misc_RNA from 1 species